UACGUAGGGUGCAAGCGUUGUCCGGAAUUAUUGGGCGUAAAGAGCUCGUAGGCGGUUUGUUGCGUCGGCUGUGAAAUCCCGAGGCUCAACCUCGGGUCUGCAGUCGAUACGAGCAAACUAGAGUGUUGCAGGGGAGACUGGAAUUCCUGGUGUAGCGGUGAAAUGCGCAGAUAUCAGGAGGAACACCGGUGGCGAAGGCGGCACUCUGGGCCGGUACUGACGCUGAGGAGCGAAAGCGUGGGGAGCAAACAGG
rnacentral:rRNA from 1 species